ensembl:lncRNA
AAGAAAUCCUUAACUUUAUCAUAUCUGCCAAGUCCCUCUUGCUAUGUAAGGUUUUGGGGAUUAGGAUCUGGAUAUCUUUGGGGAGCCAUUAUGCUGUCUACUACAGACAUCAUGGGGCAAAACACUGAACUGCAGAGGUCAAAAGAGGUUAACCUUCAACACUGAGGGAGGUUGCAUUGGAAACACAUGCUGUGAGCAAACCAUUCAAGGGCAGACUCAUCAGUGGUUCUGAAUGUGGUGUCAGAAAAAACAGCUGGGACGCCUGAAUGGGAUAACAAGUCCUGCUUCUCAGCCCGGUGCUGGAGCCUCUUCUCAAGCUAGAUCAGCAUGGCGGGAAAGCUCGCUGCCUGUCUAGGUCAUGUCGCUUUGAAUUAAGAUGUAAUUACUAGCCUGGCAGUCUACCCCUUACUAAGGGUAAACAGCACCACACAGCCCGCACUGAGAAAUUGGUGCGUAUUCCAUGUGUCGUGAGGACGAAACACGCUCAGCAGAGAAAGCCUGAGAGUUCAACCUGCUGGACCAGGAAAACAACCCAUUAUCUGAAAAAUCCUGACCCUCAUCUUCUGCGUCCUGCGCUGCUCAGAUAACUCAGCUGAAAGGCGUUUCAAACAAGAAUGCGGCUAGACAUUAUCCUUGUGUCGGUGGUGCGGGGUGGGUUUUCUGAGAGAGUGGUGUGAGUGCAUGUGUUGCUCGUCACUGAUCAUUGCUCUCAAACAUCCCAGAUGGCCGACGCGAGGACCAUGGGCUUACAGCUUGAGCCCUCGCAAAACUCUGAUGGAAGAAAAGAGCCUGGGGACAAGAGAACAGAGUCUGCGUUCACCCGGACCUGGUUCCCGUCCUGGCUCUUCCACCAGGUUCCUGUGUGGCUUCAGUAAAUUGUUUACUCUCUCCAGCUUUCGUUCCUGGUCAAAGAGAGGACAAGCUUGAUAGGACUGUCGUGAGAAUCAGAUGAGAGAGCCUGGAUUCAAGCAGCUGACAGCGCCUGGGAACCUAAGCAGUGAAGUCCUCAUUUCCCUUCUUGGCCGCAUAGCAAGGAUGGCCUCACAUCCUGGUUUUUUUGUUGUGUUAGGAUAAUUAACAACGGUGCCCCGUGUCCCACUUAGGAUGACAAAUUACAUGGUUUCUCUACACCCAGGUCAAGUUGGGUUUUGAUCACAUCCCUCUGUGUUUGUCAGAGAACUUUAGUGGCAAAGAAUGAAACCCUUCAGCCAGCGUAAGCAGAGAGGGGAAUUUGUGGGACAGGUUCAGAGACAGCUCACAAGACAGCCAUGCUUCACGAGGGCAAGACUUGGGUCGGGAGGCCCAGCUGGUCUCCCCAGAGACGCACGUUGAGUUGCCCCUAAGCGCACUUGUUUUGGUCUUUGCCCUUUGAGCAGCCUGGCUUUCCCCGCUUUAGCACGCUCCUCAGCCGCCGGUGCCUCCAGCUUUGUACUAUCUUCAGUUCACAUUGACUAAAGUCAGAUCUUUAACUCCGACUUCCAUAUUCUAGGAUAAAAGGAUCCCUGGGUUUUUUCAUGCACACAAAUACAUUCCAAAUACGUUGCCUUGGGUCUAGUAUCCACCUACGGUUAAGUGAGCCGUGACUGGGGAGGAAAGAGGGUGUCACGGGGUUUGCUCCCCUGCAGGUCUCUGUGAGCCUUCUCUCAUGAGCGGUGUGGGGUGGAGACUAAACGGCUGAUGGAGGAAAAAAGUUGGCCUCUUUAACGGCCCGACCCCUCAUAUACAAUAUGCUGACGUCCCACUGAGGCACUUUCCCACUGUUGCUCAACGGAAAUGAUUUCUGUUCUCCCAGAAUUCAAUCAAACUUACGCUGCUGGCGUCUCAUUACUUCAAGUAUUCUCUCUGUGCUAGGUGACUCUGAGCUCAUAAAUUCAUCUGUCCUCAAGGUUCAUACUUGGCAGGGUGUGUAAACGUUUCCUCACCACUGCCAGUCAAUACGUUUUCAUUUUUCCAGAGGCUUCCUAGGGACAGGGUGCCUUCAACUCACACUUCUCAAGCUUUUCCAACAGCGCAGCCCUUAGCAUAGAAAGACUUCAUAUGUUUGGGGUUCUGAGAUCACAGAACAAAGCAAAAAUCAAAUUUCUUACAGUCGAGCUUUUAAACUCAGUUCAGGUAAAACAUUAAUGUUU